AACGAACGCUGGCGGCAUGCCUAACACAUGCAAGUCGAACGAGACCUUCGGGUCUAGUGGCGCACGGGUGCGUAACGCGUGGGAACCUGCCUUUAGGUUCGGAAUAACUCAGAGAAAUUUGAGCUAAUACCGGAUGAUGUCUUCGGACCAAAGAUUUAUCGCCUUUAGAUGGGCCCGCGUUGGAUUAGCUAGUUGGUGGGGUAAAGGCCUACCAAGGCGACGAUCCAUAGCUGGUCUGAGAGGAUGAUCAGCCACACUGGGACUGAGACACGGCCCCGACUCCUACGGGAGGCAGCAGUGGGGAAUAUUGGACAAUGGGCGAAAGCCUGAUCCAGCAAUGCCGCGUGAGUGAUGAAGGCCUUAGGGUUGUAAAGCUCUUUUACCCGAGAUGAUAAUGACAGUAUCGGGAGAAUAAGCUCCGGCUAACUCCGUG
rnacentral:rRNA from 1 species